rnacentral:rRNA from 1 species
UUCCCCUAGUAACUGCGAGUGAAGCGGGAAAAGCUCAAAUUUAAAAUCUGGCAGCCUUUGGUUGUCCGAGUUGUAGUCUGGAGAAGCGUCUUCCGCGCUGGACCGUGUACAAGUCCCUUGGAAUAGGGCGUCAUAGAGGGUGAGAAUCCCGUCUUUGACACGGACUCCCAGUGCUUUGUGAUGCGCUCUCAAAGAGUCGAGUUGUUUGGGAAUGCAGCUCAAAAUGGGUGGUAAAUUCCAUCUAAAGCUAAAUAUUGGCGAGAGACCGAUAGCGAACAAGUACCGUGAGGGAAAGAUGAAAAGCACUUUGGAAAGAGAGUUAAACAGUACGUGAAAUUGCUGAAAGGGAAACGCUUGAAGUCAGUCGCGUCAUGCAGAACUCAGCCUGGCUUUUUGCUUGGUGUAUUUUCUGCAUGACGGGCCAGCAUCAGUUUUGGUCGCUGGAAAAAGUCUUCAGGAAUGUGGCACCUUCGGGUGUGUUAUAGCCUGGAGUCGUAUACAGCGGCUGGGACUGAGGAUCGCAGCGCGCCUUUAUGGCUGGGGUUCGCCCAC